rnacentral:rRNA from 1 species
GAUGAACGCUAGCGGCAGGCCUAAUACAUGCAAGUCGAGGGGUAAUUCUGCUUUCGGGCAGAAACGACCGGCGCACGGGUGCGUAACGCGUAUGCAACCUACCCACAACUGGGGGAUAGCCCGGAGAAAUCCGGAUUAAUACCCCAUAACGCAGGGGUACCGCAUGGUACUAUUUGUUAAAGAUUUAUCGGUUGUGGAUGGGCAUGCGUCUGAUUAGUUAGUUGGUGAGGUAACGGCUCACCAAGGCGAUGAUCAGUAGGGGGUCUGAGAGGAUGAUCCCCCACACUGGUACUGAGAUACGGACCAGACUCCUACGGGAGGCAGCAGUAGGGAAUAUUGGUCAAUGGGCGAAAGCCUGAACCAGCCAUGCCGCGUGCAGGAUGACGGCCUUCUGGGUUGUAAACUGCUUUUAUACAGGAAGAAAAAGGUCAUGCGUGGCCAAUUGACGGUACUGUAAGAAUAANCACCGGCUAACUCCGUGCCAGCAGCCGCGGUAAUACGGAGGGUGCAAGCGUUGUCCGGAUUUAUUGGGUUUAAAGGGUGCGUAGGCGGAUUAUUAAGUCAGUGGUGAAAGUUUGCGGCUCAACCGUAAAAGUGCCAUUGAUA